rnacentral:rRNA from 1 species
AGAGUUUGAUCAUGGCUCAGGACGAACGCUGGCGGCGCGCUUAACACAUGCAAGUCGAGCGAGAACCGGUCCUUCGGGACCGGGGAAAGCGGCGAACGGGUGAGUAACACGUGAGUAAUCCACCCUCGGCACCGGGAUAGCCCGGGGAAACUCGGAUUAAUACCGGAUGGCCCAACAGCUCUUCGGGGCGGUUGGAAAAGGUAGCUUAGGCCUCUGGCCGAGGACGAGCUCACGGCGGAUUAGCUUGUUGGUGGGGUAAUGGCCUACCAAGGCGACGAUCCGUAGCUGGUCUGAGAGGACGAUCAGCCACACUGGGACUGAGACACGGCCCAGACUCCUACGGGAGGCAGCAGUGGGGAAUCUUGCACAGUGGGCGAAAGCCUGAUGCAGCGACGCCGCGUGAGGGAAGAAGGCUUUCGGGUUGUAAACCUCUUUCAGGAGGGACGAAGCUACUCGGGUUAAUAGCCCAGAGGGUGACGGUACCUCCAGAAGAAGCCCCGGCUAACUACGUGCCAGCAGCCGCGGUAAUACGUAGGGGGCAAGCGUUGUCCGGAUUUAUUGGGCGUAAAGAGCGUGUAGGCGGCCAGAUAGGUCCGUUGUGAAAACUCGAGGCUCAACCUCGAGACGCCGAUGGAAACCAUUUGGCUAGAGUCCGGAAGAGGAGAGUGGAAUUCCUGGUGUAGCGGUGAAAUGCGCAGAUAUCAGGAAGAACACCCGUGGCUAAGGCGGCUCUCUAGUACGGUACUGACGCUGAGACGCGAAAGCGUGGGGAGCGAACAGGAUUAGAUACCCUAGUAGUCC